ACUUAAGCAUAUCAAUAAGCGGAGGAAAAGAAACCAACAGGGAUUGCCUCAGUAACGGCGAGUGAAGCGGCAACAGCUCAAAUUUGAAAUCUGGCCUCGGCCCGAGUUGUAAUUUGUAGAGGAAGCUUUUGGUGCGGCACCGACCGAGUCCCCUGGAACGGGGCGCCAUAGAGGGUGAGAGCCCCGUAUGGUUGGACGCCUAUCCUCUGUAAAGCUCCUUCGACGAGUCGAGUAGUUUGGGAAUGCUGCUCAAAAUGGGAGGUAAAUUUCUUCUAAAGCUAAAUAUUGGCCAGAGACCGAUAGCGCACAAGUAGAGUGAUCGAAAGAUGAAAAGCACUUUGAAAAGAGGGUUAAAUAGCACGUGAAAUUGUUGAAAGGGAAGCGCUUGUGACCAGACUUGCGCCUCGUCGAUCAUCCGGGGUUCUCCCCGGUGCACUCGGCGGGGCUCAGGCCAGCAUCGGUUUUCGUGGGGGGACAAAGGCACCGGGAACGUAGCUCCUCCGGGAGUGUUAUAGCCCGGGGCGUAAUGCCCUCGCGGGGACCGAGGACCGCGCUUCGGCAAGGAUGCUGGCGUAAUGGUCAUCAGCGACCCGUCUUGAAACACGGACCAAGGAGUCAAGGUUUUGCGCGAGUGUUUGGGUGUAAAACCCGCACGCGUAAUGAAAGUGAACGUAGGUGAGAGCUUCGGCGCAUCAUCGACCGAUCCUGAUGUAUUCGGAUGGAUUUGAGUAGGAGCGUUAAGCCUUGGACCCGAAAGAUGGUGAACUAUGCUUGGAUAGGGUGAAGCCAGAGGAAACUCUGGUGGAGGCUCGCAGCGGUUCUGACGUGCAAAUCGAUCGUCAAAUCUGAGCAUGGGGGCGAAAGACUAAUCGAACCAUCUAGUAGCUGGUUACCGCCGAAGUU
rnacentral:rRNA from 1 species